UGGUGGGUUGCCUUGUCAGGUUGAUUCCGGUAACGAACGAGACCUCAGCCUGCUAAAUAGUCACGUGUACUUUGGUACACGCUUGACUUCUUAGAGGGACUAUUGGCGUUUAGUCAAUGGAAGUGUGAGGCGAUAACA
rnacentral:rRNA from 1 species